GAUGAACGCAGGCGGCGUGCCUAAUACAUGCAAGUCGAGCGAACAGAUAAGGAGCUUGCUCCUUUGACGUUAGCGGCGGACGGGUGAGUAUCACGUGGGUAACCUACCCAUAAGACUGGAAUAACUCCGGGAAACCGGGGCUAAUGCCGGAUAAUAUUUAGAACCGCAUGGUUCUAAAGUGAAAGAUGGCCUUGCUAUCACUUAUGGAUGGACCCGCGCCGUAUUAGCUAGUUGGUAAGGUAACGGCUUACCAAGGCAACGAUACGUAGCCGACCUGAGAGGGUGAUCGGCCACACUGGAACUGAGACACGGUCCAGACUCCUACGGGAGGCAGCAGUAGGGAAUCUUCCGCAAUGGGCGAAAGCCUGACGGAGCAACGCCGCGUGAGUGAUGAAGGUCUUCGGAUCGUAAAGCUCUGUUAUUAGGGAAGAACAAAUGCGUAAGUAACUGUGCGCGUCUUGACGGU
rnacentral:rRNA from 1 species